AGGACACUCUAUACGGAGUUACAAAGGACGACAUUAGACGAAUCAUCUGGAAAGAUGAAUCAAAGAAGGUAAUAAUCCUGUAGUCGAAAAUGUUGUCUCUCUUGAGUGGAUCCUGAGUACGACGGAGCACGUGAAAUUCCGUCGGAAUCUGGGAGGACCAUCUCCUAAGGCUAAAUACUCUCUAGUGACCGAUAGUGAACCAGUACCGUGAGGGAAAGGUGAAAAGCACCCCGGAAGGGGAGUGAAAUAGAACCUGAAACCGUGUGCUUACAAGUAGUCAGAGCCCGUUAAUGGGUGAUGGCGUGCCUUUUGUAGAAUGAACCGGCGAGUUACGAUUUGAUGCAAGGUUAAGCAGUAAAUGUGGAGCCGUAGCGAAAGCGAGUCUGAAUAGGGCGUUUAGUAUUUGGUCGUAGACCCGAAACCAGGUGAUCUACCCUUGGUCAGGUUGAAGUUCAGGUAACACUGAAUGGAGGACCGAACCGACUUACGUUGAAAAGUGAGCGGAUGAACUGAGGGUAGCGGAGAAAUUCCAAUCGAACCUGGAGAUAGCUGGUUCUCUCCGAAAUAGCUUUAGGGCUAGCCUCAAGUGAUGAUUAUUGGAGGUAGAGCACUGUUUGGACGAGGGGCCCCUCUCGGGUUACCGAAUUCAGACAAACUCCGAAUGCCAAUUAAUUUAACUUGGGAGUCAGAACAUGGGUGAUAAGGUCCGUGUUCGAAAGGGAAACAGCCCAGACCACCAGCUAAGGUCCCAAAAUAUAUGUUAAGUGGAAAAGGAUGUGGCGUUGCCCAGACAACUAGGAUGUUGGCUUAGAAGCAGCCAUCAUUUAAAGAGU
rnacentral:rRNA from 1 species